rnacentral:lncRNA from 1 species
UGCCUUCACAGUCUGGGGAGAUGGACUUAAUGGUCCUCAAAAACCAUCUCCAAAGAUUCUGCUCAGCCAUGCAAGUUUUAAAAGGAAAGGGGGAAAGUAAUUUCUGUGAAUCAUAAGUCUGGGGUCAGAGUCGUUCCCAUACCCCACUGCAUGCAGACUUGUUGAUUUCUUGUGGUCUUUCUGUGCUUUCUUGUUCACACAGUUUGUUUACGAUAUUACUAAAAGGGAAGCUAGAGGAGAGAUCUAGUCAUCUGUUAAUUCCCUCUGCUUCAUUUCUACUUCUUUGAUCUAUGGGAAGAAUCAACAGGUUAGGCAAGGUAUUUUGUGAUCAAAAGUUUUGAAGUAUGCUUGGGCUGGAGAUGAGCAGAGCAUGGGGGUGCCUGGUUUAGGUGAAGGUACAGUAGAGCUUUGCUAAGGUGACAAAGCAAAAGGGGUUUCCUGCUGAGGGUGGUUUUCGGCAAAGAGCUGCUAACAGCAAGUUCUGAACCCCUUUACUUCUUUGUAUAUUUUUUAUUGUCUGUCUCUGCCUCUAAACUGUAAGCUCCAAUAUAAGUAAGGACUGUGGCUUGGUCACCACUCUAUUGUCAACACUUAGUACUGAAGUAUAAAGGGGCAUAGAACAGGCAUUCAGAUAUUUUUUGAAUGUUCCCUAAAGAUAUGAGAAUAAAACCUGUUAUUUGGAAGGGUUUUAAUGAUAUUUAUUUGGAAUGAAAAAUCCUCAUUCUGUGUGCAUCCUUCUCCUGGGUAAAAUAAUACUCAAGUUUUCUAUAGUAGUGUAGAGGUUCUAAAGGAUCUCUUGAGAAAUACCAUAGUUUUUACAGUUUUCCUCACCCUUUUUUUUCUGUUGGAAAAAUAUACUCAAUAGACGUCAUUCACCUAUUCAUGCUUUGGUGGACAUGAGUCAGAAUCCUCCUCAUAAACUCAACAAAAGCCACAAAGUAGACUCUGGCCUAUUCUGGUCUUAAGCCUGUUCCCAUCCUGGGAAUGAAGGAAGGCUUAUUCCCUCAGACCACAUGGAGUGAGUUGCCUAUAGGAGAGAAGAAGUAGGUUCUCAAGAGAGAGAGAAGAAAAAUAUGUUCAACCAACAAAAUCAUAGCUACCACAAUAUGUAUGUACAAAUAGGCUUUUAACUCUUUUAACUCUUCAACAACCAUGUAAACUCUUUCUUUUCCACUUUUUAUUUUUUUCAUUUCUUUUUAUUUUAUUUUUGCUUUUUAGGGCUGCACCUGCAGUAUGUGGAGGUUCCCAGGCUAAGGGUCAGGUCAGAGCUAUAGCUGCUGACCUACACCACAGCCACAGCAACAUGAGAUCCGAGCCACAUCUGCAACCUACACCACAGUUCACUGCAACACCAGAUCCUUAACCCACUGUAAGAGGCCAAGAAUCAAACCUGUGUCCUCUUGGAUGCUAGUCAUAUUUGUUUCCACUGAGCCACAAUGGGAACUCCCCUUUCCACUUUUCUUCAAGAAAAUAUAUGGAAAUGGGAAUGAAAUUGCGAUUACCUUGAAUUAUUUUCAGUGUAUUUUUAAGGAAAUUAUUUACAUAUUUCCAUAAUGAACCUAUUUUGGUAACAUUACAUGAAGCAAAUAUAAUAUUUGAUUGUAACGUAGGAUUAGUUGUGUUCUUACUAUAUUCCAAGCACAAAAAAGAGGAUUUUAUCCCCUAAAAGAUUGAGAAUUGCCGUUUUAACAUGUAAGAACUCCAGACUGUUUGCAAAAAUCUGCUGUACAAAAUAGAAUCAUUUUAUAGUUAUAACAAUAAUUUUUUUUUUGUCUUUUUGUCUCUUUAGGGCCACACCUACAGCAUAUGGAGGUUCCCAGGCUAGGGGUCGAAUUGUAGCUGUAGCUGCCAGCCUGCGCCAGAGCCACAGCAACGCGGGAUCCGAGCCACAUCUUUGACCUACACCACAGCUCAUGGCAAUGCCAGAUCCUUAACCCACUGAGCAAGGCCAGGGAUCUAACCUGCAUCCUCUUGGAUGCUAGUUCGGUUUGUUAACUGCUGAGCCACGAUGGGAACUCCAUACAGUUAUAACAAUGAUUUUUAAGAGCAAAAAACAGUUAAUAAGCCAGUCUUGCAUUAGACAUCUUGAUGUAUAAGUUGACUUCAUGCAAAUAAUAUAAGCAAACUGAAUUUCCCAGUUUACUCAUCAGACACCAUAUAGAUACAUAUCACAUUCACAUCUUUAAAAUGUAAUAAGAAAAAUCACCUCUUUGUAUCUGGGAAGUCUGUCCCUACAAUUCCAUUACCAACUUGGAUGACACUAAGCUGAGAGAAAUCUCACUUCACUUUGUGUCUUCCUUUUACUACUGUGUGAUCUUCCCAGAUAGUUAAUUUUUUUAUGUGUCUUAAUCAAAGCAUUCUGUAGUUACUACCAAUUUCUAACACCUAGAUGAAACUUCUUCUGGCACAAAAAUAUCAAAAGAAAGAAUUGAAAUGAUCACAUCCGUGAUCCUCAUCAUAUGCAAGUUUUCGCUUUAUCCUGACCUGACUUUGAAUAUUUAGGGAAAAUGCUCAAUUUGUAGCCUUAGCAAAUGGCACCGCAAUGUCACACUCUGUUUAACAUUCAGCUUUGUUAAUCAAGAAAACCAGAUUGGCUUGCUGCAUGUUGAUUAAAUUGAUUACAGCUGUAGGCCUUGAUAACAUUUUUUUCAAGUGUCUCUAAUUAAUCAGACAAUGCUUGAUUAGUUUUUUCUGUUUCAAGGAGAUAAACUGACUUCUUUGAGAAUUUUCACCCAAAAUGAUUCCCCUCCAAUGAAAGGUAAAGAUAAGUGAGUCACUGCUUAGUUUUCCAUGACGUGGAGACCUUUUAUCUUCUAGCAACUAAAAAGAAACGAAAGAAGAAAAACCCUUUGAAGAAGCUGAUUAAAAUAUAAUAUUAAAUUUCUUUUCAUAUACUCACAUGAAUACAUCUCCUAGAAUGAGAAAAGGCUAUGUGUUCCCUCUGAGCUUUUAGUCUGGCCUCCUCUCUAUUGUAGAGCGUGUCUCAACUUUCCCAUUGUAACCAUUCUUUGUCAAGUUAUAUCAUUGAAUUGUCAGACAUGACAUUGCAGAUUUCAGCCCAGGAACCAUUUUUUUUUCUAAUCAGGCUCAUGAAUGAUGCAUUAAAUAUAAUAAGCCACCACCAUUUUUUAGUCAUAUCUAUAGCAUUAGAUAAAACAACUGAUGUUUAUGCAAAUGAAAUCUUGACAAUUUCCAGGAACAUUACCAACAUUUAUAAAGACCCAAAAUGUUCUGCUUUCAUUGCUGAAGUUGAUAUUUCCAACAGGGAAGACUGCUAGGAUCAGCUCAGAUGGUACGUGUUGGCAUGAGGAAGGAACCUCAUUUUCCUCUCUUCUUCAUUUCGUUGAGGGACCGGUCUUGUUUCCUGUAAAGCACUUGUCACCUAAAACACUUUUUUAUAGAUAUUUUUAAGCUGUGCUUCAGAAGAGUCCCAUCAAAUUGGAAGCUCUUGAAGAGCAAGAAUCUG